rnacentral:rRNA from 1 species
AUGUAUAGCUUCGGCUAGUUAUAUUUGGCUGUUUAAGAUUAUUUUUAAUGAUGCUCUCACAUUGUUAAAAAUAUCUUAUUCAUUUUGAGUUAUGCUAGCGCAAAAUGAUUAAUUCAAUUAAUUUAUCACUAAUCNAAGAUUAUUAUAGGGCUUUUAAUAUUAAAGCUUUAUAAGGAACAAUAUGUUCAGUGGACAAUAUAACANCNAUUUUAUCGAAUNAAGUUNNAGAUAUUUCACUGAUGNUGANNNUUUNNNNNNUAUNUGUCUUGACCAAAUUACGUGCCNNNAGUCGCGGUAAUACGUAGAAGACUAGUGUUAUUCAUCUUUAUUAGGUUUAAAGGGUACCUAGACGGUAUGAUUAGUCUUAGACAGGAUACGGUCGUACUAGAGUUAUAUAUGAGAAGGGGAGUAUUGAUGGAGUAGAGUUGAAAUUCUUUGAUACCAUUAGGACUGAUAACGGCGAAAGCAACCUUUUAUCUAAUAACUGACGUUGAGGGACGAAGGCUCGGGUAACGAACAGGAUUAGAUACCC